GCCUGGAUGGCGGAACUGGUAGACGCGCACGACUCAAAAUCGUGUACCGUGAGGUGUGUCGGUUCGAUUCCGACUCUAGGUA
rnacentral:tRNA from 1 species